rnacentral:rRNA from 1 species
AUGGCGCCUCCCGCCGCCGGGGAAACCCCACCUACGGAGGCUGCGGAGAACAGCGCCAAGACCGAGGAGUCGCGGUGGCUCGCGGCCCUCUCCGAGCCAGAGCUCGAUCUCCUCAUCAGCCUGAAGAUGCUGGCCGUGAAGCGGGCGGAGACGGCCGGCCGCCCCCACCUCGCCGACGGGUUCGAUCUGCGCACGCUGCGUGCCCUCGGUGUUGUUUUGCUGGAGGAUUUCAAGGCACGGUUAGAAGAAACCUCGGUCGAUGCAUCCGUUCUUGAUAGACUUGCGCUGUCGAGGGACUGUGUCGCGGAUGCCGGCGGCGGCAGUGGUGACUCUGAGGUGCUCAGGCGGCACGGCAAAGAUGAGCCAAAGCCAAAUAGCGUCAAGAGAGAACGAAAGCAGAGGCAGGAUGGGCGCCAUGGAGAAACCGUGAAAAGCAAGAAGAAAAGAAAACUGAGCGAGAGGAGAUAG